UUGAACGCUGGCGGCAGGCCUAACACAUGCAAGUCGAACGGUAACAGGAAGCAGCUUGCUGCUUCGCUGACGAGUGGCGGACGGGUGAGUAAUGUCUGGGAAGCUGCCUGAUGGAGGGGGAUAACUACUGGAAACGGUAGCUAAUACCGCAUAAUGUCGCAAGACCAAAGAGGGGGACCUUCGGGCCUCUUGCCAUCGGAUGUGCCCAGAUGGGAUUAGCUUGUUGGUGGGGUAACGGCUCACCAAGGCGACGAUCCCUAGCUGGUCUGAGAGGAUGACCAGCCACACCGGAACUGAGACACGGUCCAGACUCCUACGGGAGGCAGCAGUGGGGAAUAUUGCACAAUGGGCGCAAGCCUGAUGCAGCCAUGCCGCGUGUAUGAAGAAGGCCUUCGGGUUGUAAAGUACUUUCAGCGGGGAGGAAGGGAGUAAAGUUAAUACCUUUGCUCAUUGACGUUACCCGCAGAAGAAGCACCGGCUAACUCCGUG
rnacentral:rRNA from 1 species